AUUGAAUGAAUGUGUGAUAACAAAAAAACCAUUCAUUCAUUCAGAAAGAAGAAGAAUAGAACAUAACAUUACACCAUAUCUACAUAGAGGGAGAUAGUUUUUUCUCUCUCUCUUUCUCUUGUCCUUUGCCUUGUUGUUCUUUUUUGGCUUUUUGGAACAUAUUAAUCAGCAGCCAUGAACGACAAGGCUUCUGUUUCUAAAGAGCUUAAUGCCAAACAUGCAAAGCUAUUGGAGGGCCUUCUUAAGCUUCCAGAAAAUAGGGAAUGUGCAGAUUGUCGGGGAAGGGCCCCAAGGUGGGCGAGCAUCAACCUUGGGAUAUUCAUCUGUCUGCAAUGUUCAGGAAUUCAUAGGAGUCUUGGGGUACAUAUCUCAAAGGUGAGGUCGACCACUUUGGAUACAUGGCUGCCGGAGCAGGUUGCUUUUAUGCAAUGUGUAGGUAAUGAGAAGUCGAACAAUUAUUGGGAGGCAGAUCUACCAGCAAGCGAAGAUAGAAGCGACAUUGGGAAAUUUAUCCGGACCAAGUAUCAGGAUAAGAAAUGGGCUUCGAGAUAUGCCCCUCAACCAGCACCAUCUAACAUGACUGAUGAAACAAUUGAAUUCGAAGAAAAAGCUGAUAUUCCAAGGAAAGCAAGAAAAUAUUCUUUGGAGGAUGAAGUUUUUAAUGCACAACAGCCACAAGUUCCUUCGACAACAAGAUCUCGUGGGGUUUCUUUAGACACGAUGGAUGAACUUCUUAAUUUACCUCCAAAAACUGGUCUGAUCAAUGCGCCAUCCGUGAAGCUCAAAGAAGAGAAGAAAGAUCUCUUCAGUUUGCUCUAUGCCUCAGAGGCAAACCAAGAUCGCACUAUUGUGCCUCCAUCUCGCUGGGCAACUUUUGAGUGAGCUGAUGAGACCAAGAGAAGAACCAGUUGGGAGUCAUAUCGCAGCACUUUUGCAUUGGAUUAGAGUUCAUGGAUGAUAAGGCGAGAGAGAGAGCUGCAAUUCAACAUGAUGGACCUCUUUUUCUUGUGAAGACUUGCUGGGAUUGUUAUUGAUUGGGCAGAUAGUCUGUAUCCAUUGCUAUUAGUUUUCAUGUAUAGAGUUACUAUUUAGUUGUAUCCAAUAUGAUUAAAUUAAAGAGUUGGCAACUGGAUUCUACCACUUUGUGUCUUAAAAGAUUAAUGUAUGGUUCAUUAUUUUUUCUGUAUAGAAAAUGAUUUCUUUCAUAUAAUUACUAGCUAGGAGUACAAUUUAUUUUGAUC